rnacentral:rRNA from 1 species
CUUGGUCAUUUAGAGGAAGUAAAAGUCGUAACAAGGUUUCCGUAGGUGAACCUGCGGAAGGAUCAUUAGAGAAAUCUUCGACGGCUGUGCGCCCUCGGGCCGCACGCCGUUUCAAUUUCCACACACGUGCACCUUCGACGGGAGUGGGGAAACCCGUUCCCCGUCGCUUUCAUUGACAAAGUCAGUCUUGAAUGUAAACCCCUUUAUUAAAAAAACACAACUUUCAGCAACGGAUCUCUUGGCUCUCGCAUCGAUGAAGAACGCAGCGAAAUGCGAUAAGUAAUGUGAAUUGCAGAAUUCAGUGAAUCAUCGAAUCUUUGAACGCACCUUGCGCCCCGUGGCUUUUCCACGGGGCACGCCCGUUCGAGUGUCACGUUAACCCUCGCCAACCGGACAGUAAUGUUUUGGGGAAGCGGAUUUGGACGUUGCCGGUCGCGAGAUCGGCUCGUCUCGAAAUGCAUUAGCGGAGUGAGACGCGAGCGCGACGUUGAUAAUCGUCUACGCCUCGUGAGCGUCGAGCCUUGCUCAUAAUCGCCGUGAGGCAAGUUUUCACAGUUUGACCUCGAAUCGGGUGGGACUACCCGCUGAACUUAAGCAUAUCAAUAAGCGGAGGAUUAUCAACCUUGUUCGCUUUUCGGAGCUUGAGCGAGGCUUGGAUGUGAGGGUUUUUGCUGGCUUCCUUCAGUGGAUGGUCUGCUCCCUUUAAAUGCAUUAGUGGGAUCUCUUUUGUGGACCGUCACUUGGUGUGAUAAUUAUCUAUGCCAUUGACUUGCUUAACGAGAAUCUGCUUAUAACCGUCUCGCAAGGGACAACACUUUAUUGACAAUUUGACCUCAAAUCAGGUAGGACUACUCGCUGAACUUAAGCAUAUCAAUAAGCGGAGGA